rnacentral:tRNA from 1 species
GGCCAGGUGAUGAAAUGGCAAACAUACGGGACUCAAAAUCCCGCGCCCGCAAGGGCUUGAGGGUUCAAGUCCCUCCCUGGCCA